UUUGCAUAUCCAAUAAGCGGAGGAAAAGAAACCAACAGGGAUUGCCUCAGUAACGGCGAGUGAAGCGGCAAAAGCUCAAAUUUGAAAUCUAGCACCUUCGGUGUUCGAGUUGUAAUUUGAAGAUGGUAACCUUGGGUUUGGCUCUUGUCUAUGUUCCUUGGAACAGGACGUCAUAGAGGGUGAGAAUCCCGUCUGAUGAGAUGCCCAUUCCUAUGUAAGGUGCUAUCGAAGAGUCGAGUUGUUUGGGAAUGCAGCUCUAAGUGGGUGGUAAAUUCCAUCUAAAGCUAAAUAUUGGCGAGAGACCGAUAGCGAACAAGUACAGUGAUGGAAAGAUGAAAAGAACUUUGAAAAGAGAGUGAAAAAGUACGUGAAAUUGUUGAAAGGGAAGGGCAUUAGAUCAGACUUGGUGUUUUACGAUUAUCUUCUCUUCUUGAGUUGUGCACUCGUAUUUCACUGGGCCAGCAUCGAUUCGGAUGGCAAGAUAAUGGCAGUUGAAUGUGGCUUCACUUCGGUGGAGUGUUAUAGCUUCUGCUGAUAUUGCCUGUCUGGAUCGAGGGCUGCGUCUUUGACUAGGAU
rnacentral:rRNA from 1 species